CUGGACUAGAGCAAGACUAGCACAGAAGCAGUGAGACCACUUGGGAGGAUGGUGCAGUUGUCCAGGGAGACACUAGCUGAGAGUGAAGUCCAGACAAAGGGAGAUGGAUCACUGAAGACGUCUCUGAGUACCUAGAUCCAACUGUGUCUGACUGCAAACUACCCCUAGACUCAGGAUUGUGAUGUACACACACAGAGGAACAAAAGCGCCAUAUCCCAGCCGGGGCUUUCCUGUCUCCUGUGUCCAGCUGCUCCCUCUUUUUGCCCAGAGUGAACAGACCACAGAACUCAGCAGCUCCCCAGUAUCCCCCAAAAGGAUGCACUCGGGACUUCCCUGGUGGUCCAGUGGUGAAGACUCCGUGCUUCCAAUGCAGGGGGUGCAGGUUCGAUCCCUGGUUAGAGAACCAAGAUCCCACUUGCCACGUGGCAGGGCCAAAAAAAAAAAAAAAGUAAAAAGCAAAACAAAACAAACAAAUGAACAACAACAACAAACCAAAAGGAUGCGCUCACCACAACAGGGAACAACAGAAACAUUGCUGAAGAUUUCAGAGCAGAGCUGAGGAAGGGGAUCUGCAGCACACAACUCACAGACGAUGACAACUCCAUCUUUAUUCCUCCACGCUGCUCUCCAGCAUGCCGCCCAUUCUUGUGUCAUGCCUUCCCCCACUCGCCCUUCCCCCCACCCCACACAUCCUCUGCCUGGGGUGGCAGGUGGUGGCUGAGAGAGGACUUCCCUCUCUUCCAAGUCUUUCCUUCUCAUGCUCCCCCCUCACCCCCAACACACGCAGAUUCCUCCUGGAGCCCCGCUCGAGUGCGCAAUCCAGUUUUCCUCAUCCAGCACAUCCUUUGGGUUCCUCCCUCCAGCCCAGGUUGUUAAAGUCUUUAUUCCAAAUGAGUGUUGUUCUCUCCCUGCAUGGAAUCCUGAUUUCUACACUAGCUCCCUCUACCA